UGGCUCUUGACAUCCUGCGAACUUGGUAGAGAUACCUUGGUGCCUUCGGGAGCGCAGUGACAGGUGCUGCAUGGCCGUCGUCAGCUCGUGUCGUGAGAUGUUGGGUUAAGUCCCGUAACGAGCGCAACCCUUGUCCUUAGUUGCCAGCGGUCCGGCCGGGAACUCUAGGGAGACUGCCGGUGACAAACCGGAGGAAGGUGGGGAUGACGUCAGGUCAUCAUGGCCCUUACGGCCAGGGCUACACACGUGCUACAAUGGGGCGCACAGAGGGCAGCAAGCGCGCGAGUGCAAGCGAAUCCCUUAAAACGCCUCGUAGUCCGGAUCGGAGUCUGCAACUCGACUCCGUGAAGUCGGAAUCGCUAGUAAUCGCAGAUCAGAAUGCUGCGGUGAAUACGUUCCCGGGUCUUGUACACACCGA
rnacentral:rRNA from 1 species